rfam:Brachypodium distachyon strain Bd21 chromosome 4, whole genome shotgun sequence.
UUGAUACUUCCUCCGUUCCAUAAUUCUUGUCGAAAUAUUACAUGUAUCUAGACGCUUUUUAGGAAUAGAUACAUCCAUUUUGGGGCUAAUUGGAGACAAGAAUUAUGAAACGGAGGGAGUACUAG